GCCCUCCCCGCGCCCGGUCUGGGAACGGGUGGAGGCCACGCGUGUGCUCCGGGAGUUCCACUGCUCCCGCCGGUGGGAACAGCGCAGCGGUUCGCCUGGGACCAGUCCAGGAGCCAGCCGCCUUGUCUUCUGGACCACAGACAGAUUGGCAAGGAUGGAUGGCCACCCAUCAGGAAGAAUUGGUGUAGGAGACUACUUGCUAGCCUGUGUGGAUGGGACAUGCCCUGUAGAGCAAACGUAAAUCCUCAGAUCAGACAGAAGGGAGGAAACACCAUUUGCACAGCCUGUCAAUCAAUCCUUCCUUUGUUUUGACUUGUGUUUGUCUAGUUUGUAACUUCACCUUUGAAAACCAUGGCAGUUCUGUUGCUGUCAUGUUCAAAGCAAGCAUUUUAAAAUGCCUGUCAGUUGUGUUUCUUUAAAGUAAAUGUCAAGUCUACCUUCCA